AUUAAUAUAAAAAAUUCCUUCUAAAUUCAUUCCUUCUAGUGAAAGAGAAAGACAAGAAUGUAUUCGAUUGAUCACUGUUAUUGUGCUACUACCGUGAUCAUUUGUUGUUGUAUCCUAGGAGACAGACAUCUAAUGUUACUCAAAGCAUUGAGGAGAGGUCAAAUCUAUCUUAAGGAAAUUGUUCAUAGAGGUCUCAACAAAAUUCUUCUUCUAAUUUUCAAUUCUGUCCAAUUACAGGUAUUCUGUUGUGUAAUUGCUACUAUAUUGUAUUGCAUUAUUAUUGUUACUGACAUAUUAAUAUUACAUACGAUAUUAUAUUUUCUUACAAAAUAUACGUCCGUCGUAAGUACCAUGCAUAAUAACUCGACAAUAGUUGUUCAGUUUAGGUUGUAAGUUUGAUCCAUGUAUUUAUUUCAUACUUGGUUCAACUAAUUGUAAUUAAUAAAUGGGAGUCUAUUUUAAUGGUUGUUGACUUCACUCUAUGAAAACUCCCACUUAUCCUUCUUUUUAUUUUAUCCACAUUUUUCUAAUACACUCAAUCUCAAGCCCUUAAGAUAUCUAACCUAUUGGAUUUUUUUUUCUUAGCUCUCGAUGGGAAAAUGGUUGGCCACAUAAUCAAUUUGGUUAAUUUAUGUAUAUAUGUUGAAAAAAAAAUUAAGUGAGAAACUAUGCUGAAAUCUUAAAAAUUUAUCGAUCUACAUUGUUUUUGGAGAGAGAAAGGAAAACGCAUUUUCCAGGGUGCGUUUUCAUUGCCACUUCAGUGAAAAUGUGCCUUGAAGGACAAGUUUUCACUUAGGUAAAAAUUCUUUUUCUUUUUUUUUUCUUGCGUUUGGAAAUUAGAAGUUUGUAGAGUUAUUUUUAUCCGUGUUUGAGAUAGACGUGAUUAUAGUUUUAAGGAAUAUUUGAAUUUAUGGUGGUGCUGUGGAGUUGGGUGACCUACAAAUUUGAUUUGUUAUGUAAGUAUGGAGUCAUCUCCUGGGAAGCCAGAUCAUGUUGCAACCCAAGCUCCCAAUUAACGAUGAUUAUAUGGUCUAAGCUUGAAGUGUAAUUAGGGCUUCAAGUUUACAAAGGUUAUGCUGUCAAGGGAUGGAGCAUAAAUGGGGUCGUAGUUGAUGGUGCUUAUGCGAGCACGAUAACAAGUUUCUUAUCAGAAGAGAAUGCUUUAUAAAACUCAAACAUAAAUGCAAGGAAAAAAAUGCAGUGACAUUUCAAUACAAUCAAGUAAUGCAUAUUAUCCACCAUCACUAAAGGCGGUGACCCCGUUAUUAUAACCCGUGACAACAAUGAGGUGUAAAAUGUUAUACUAACAAGGUCACCGCCUUUGGUGGAGAUGGAGAACACGAAUAACUUGAUUAUAUUGGAAGAUCCCUUGCGUUUUCCUUCCUCGCACUUAUGUUUGAGUUUUAUGAAACACGCACUUUUGACUCUUCUGAUGAGAAGACUUGUGUCGUGUCUAUAUUAGCACUUUUAACUAUGGCCCUAUUUAUGUGUACUCCCUUGACAGCAUAACCCUUGUAAACUUGAAGCCUUAGUUACACUUCAACUUAAGACGGUAUAAUCACUGCCAACUUACACUUCAAGUUGUAAAGUGAUCUCGACUUCUCAGGUGAUGGCCCCAUACUCAUACGAUGGGUGAAAUUUGUAGGUUACCGAGCUUGAUGACAUCACCGUGAACCCAAACACAAUUUAAAACUAUGACUAUAUCUCCCUCAAAGUGAGAGAGAAAUAAAUUUUUAAACCCAAAAAUUUCAACAUGUAAGAAGAAGAAAAAAUAAUUUAGAGGAGAUUGAGAUGUGGUAAGUAAGGGGAUGAGGGUGUUUAUAUAGGGGAUGGGGUGGGGUCCAAAGGGAAAAAAAUUAUCCUUGGUGUUAAAAUCUUUUAGGAAAUCGACUUUUUAUUUAAAAAUGAAAAUGGAGUCGCCACCAAUCUUUUUUAUUUAGGUGUAAUUAGAUCACCUCAAAACUUGUUCAUUUUAAUAAAAUGUUAGAUUUAUUAAAACGAUAAUUUUCGGUCUACAAAAUCCAAGAAAUGAGUUUGGGAGUCAGCUAAAUAUGAGGAAGGGUUAGCACCCUCAUAACGUCCAAAAUUGGUACCUAGUUGAUUUCUUAAUAUCUUGAUGUCAAGAAUUGAAAAUUUGAAGAGAAUUUAAAACAUAUUCCCUCUUUGCAUGAUGUUAUUUGAUGGUAUUGAAAAAGUCCCAAUCUAAAUUAAAUUUUUAAUGAGGAGGUAUUCUCAUUUUGGGUUGAUCAAGAUGAAAAAUCAUGUCCCGUAACUUGGGGCACAAAAUCUCGAAUUAACGAUGAUUAUAUGGUCUAAGCUUGAAGUGUAAUUAGGGCUUCAAGUUUACAAAGGUUAUGCUGUCAAGGGAUGGAGCAUAAAUGGGGUCGUAGUUGAUGGUGCUUAUGCGAGCACGAUAACAAGUUUCUUAUCAGAAGAGAAUGCUUUAUAAAACUCAAACAUAAAUGCAAGGAAAAAAAUGCAGUGACAUUUCAAUACAAUCAAGUAAUGCAUAUAUCCACCAUCAUUAAAGGCGGUGACCCCGUUAUUAUAACCCGUGACAACAAUGAGGUGUAAAAUGUUAUACUAACAAGGUCACCGCCUUUGGUGGAGAUGGAGAACACGAAUAACUUGAUUAUAUUGGAAGAUCCCUUGCGUUUUCCUUCCUCGCACUUAUGUUUGAGUUUUAUGAAACACGCACUUUUGACUCUUCUGAUGAGAAGACUUGUGUCGUGUCUAUAUUAGCACUGUUAACUAUGGCCCUAUUUAUGUGUACUCCCUUGACAGCAUAACCCUUGUAAACUUGAAGCCUUAGUUACACUUCAACUUAAGACGGUAUAAUCACUGCCAACUUACACUUCAAGUUGUAAAGCGAUCUCGACUUCUCAGGUGAUGGCCCCAUACUCAUACGAUGGGUGAAAUUUGUAGGUUACCGAGCUUGAUGGCAUCACCGUGAACCCAAACACAAUUUAAAACUAUGACUAUAUCUCCCUCAAAGUGAGAGAGAAAUAAAUUUUUAAACCCAAAAAUUUCAACAUGUAAGAAGAAGAAAAAAUAAUUUAGAGGAGAUUGAGAUGUGGUAAGUAAGGGGAUGAGGGUGUUUAUAUAGGGGAUGGGGUGGGGUCCAAAGGGAAAAAAAUUAUCCUUGGUGUUAAAAUCUUUUAGGAAAUCGACUUUUUAUUUAAAAAUGAAAAUGGAGUCGCCACCAAUCUUUUUUAUUUAGGUGUAAUUAGAUCACCUCAAAACUUGUUCAUUUUAAUAAAAUGUUAGAUUUAUUAAAACGAUAAUUUUCGGUCUACAAAAUCCAAGAAAUGAGUUUGGGAGUCAGCUAAAUAUGAGGAAGGGUUAGCACCCUCAUAACGUCCAAAAUUGGUACCUAGUUGAUUUCUUAAUAUCUUGAUGUCAAGAAUUGAAAAUUUGAAGAGAAUUUAAAACAUAUUCCCUCUUUGCAUGAUGUUAUUUGAUGGUAUUGAAAAAGUCCCAAUCUAAAUUAAAUUUUUAAUGAGGAGGUAUUCUCAUUUUGGGUUGAUCAAGAUGAAAAAUCAUGUCCCGUAACUUGGGGCACAAAAUCUCGAAUUAAUGAUGAUUAUAUGGUCUAAGCUUGAAGUGUAAUUAGGGCUUCAAGUUUACAAAGGUUAUGCUGUCAAGGGAUGGAGCAUAAAUGGGGUCGUAGUUGAUGGUGCUUAUGCGAGCACGAUAACAAGUUUCUUAUCAGAAGAGAAUGCUUUAUAAAACUCAAACAUAAAUGCAAGGAAAAAAAUGCAGUGACAUUUCAAUACAAUCAAGUAAUGCAUAUAUCCACUAUCAUUAAAGGCGGUGACCCCGUUAUUAUAACCCGUGACAACAAUGAGGUGUAAAAUGUUAUACUAACAAGGUCACCGCCUUUGGUGGAGAUGGAGAACACGAAUAACUUGAUUAUAUUGGAAGAUCCCUUGCGUUUUCCUUCCUCGCACUUAUGUUUGAGUUUUAUGAAACACGCACUUUUGACUCUUCUGAUGAGAAGACUUGUGUCGUGUCUAUAUUAGCACUGUUAACUAUGGCCCUAUUUAUGUGUACUCCCUUGACAGCAUAACCCUUGUAAACUUGAAGCCUUAGUUACACUUCAACUUAAGACGGUAUAAUCACUGCCAACUUACACUUCAAGUUGUAAAGCGAUCUCGACUUCUCAGGUGAUGGCCCCAUACUCAUACGAUGGGUGAAAUUUGUAGGUUACCGAGCUUGAUGACAUCACCGUGAACCCAAACACAAUUUAAAACUAUGACUAUAUCUCCCUCAAAGUGAGAGAGAAAUAAAUUUUUAAACCCAAAAAUUUCAACAUGUAAGAAGAAGAAAAAAUAAUUUAGAGGAGAUUGAGAUGUGGUAAGUAAGGGGAUGAGGGUGUUUAUAUAGGGGAUGGGGUGGGGUCCAAAGGGAAAAAAAUUAUCCUUGGUGUUAAAAUCUUUUAGGAAAUCGACUUUUUAUUUAAAAAUGAAAAUGGAGUCGCCACCAAUCUUUUUUAUUUAGGUGUAAUUAGAUCACCUCAAAACUUGUUCAUUUUAAUAAAAUGUUAGAUUUAUUAAAACGAUAAUUUUCGGUCUACAAAAUCCAAGAAAUGAGUUUGGGAGUCAGCUAAAUAUGAGGAAGGGUUAGCACCCUCAUAACGUCCAAAAUUGGUACCUAGUUGAUUUCUUAAUAUCUUGAUGUCAAGAAUUGAAAAUUUGAAGAGAAUUUAAAACAUAUUCCCUCUUUGCAUGAUGUUAUUUGAUGGUAUUGAAAAAGUCCCAAUCUAAAUUAAAUUUUUAAUGAGGAGGUAUUCUCAUUUUGGGUUGAUCAAGAUGAAAAAUCAUGUCCCGUAACUUGGGGCACAAAAUCUCGAAUUCUCGAAAAUAAGAACGCUCACCAUUUAAUUAUUGCCCAAAUCUUAUAUUUUUAAUUAUUAUUAUUCAUUUUAUUUUUUUUUAAAAUAAGGGGCGUUCAAUUAUUUUGGUUCAAGGAGAAAAUCGUGCCCUGUAAGUUAGUGGCACAAUUUCUCGGAUCCUCAAAAUAAAGAAUAUCGCCUUGGUUCAAUUUGCUAAAUAUACAAUGUGUGAAAAUGAAACUUCUAAUAUGACAUGUUAUGGACUUAUUCGAACAUAAAACAUUACAUAAGAUACAUGAACAUGUUUAAAUGCUUUAUAUGAUGUCAUAAGAACGUAAAUAAUGCAAUAUAUCAUGACUAAUAAUAAUGCUAAAAAAUGUUAAUUAGUGCUAAUAAUAAUUAAUGAUAAUAAUUAAGGACUAAAUAAUAAAUUAUACAAUUUAAAGGGCAAAAAUAUAAAUAACAAAGAUUAAAACUGCAAGGAAUUAAAAAGAAAUAAAUAUGCUGAAUAAAAUAAAUAGAGGACUAAGUUGAAAUUUAAACAAAAUUUAAAGGGGAAAUUAAAAAAAAGAAGUAAAUAAAAGACUAAAAGAAAAUAAUUGGGAAAUUUGAUGGUAAAAUUAUAAAAUCUGUAAUUUAAAGGGAGAAAUUAAUAAAUAAAAAUUUAAACAUGCUGGAAUUUAAAUAACAGAAAAUAAAAGGACCAAAUUUAAAAAUAAAGACUAAAUUGAAACCCCAAAAAUAUUUGGAGUCUAAAUUGAAAGAAAACAAAAACAAAUAAAACAAAUAAAUAAAGGAUUAAAUUAAAACAAAAUGUAAAUGUUCAGGGACCUAGGAUGCUAUUUUCUCCCAACCUAGCACAGGUGUCAUUCCCAAAAAGGAUCAACAGUAUGAGGAUUAAAGUAGAAACAAAUUAAAAUUAAAUGACAUAAUUAAAAAGGAGAGAAAAUCGAAAUUAGGACCACAUUAAAUAGUGCCUAAAAGCAUAGGGACUUAAGCAGCAAUUAGACCCCUCUUUAAAAAAACACGCGGAUCCUAUGAUGGGUCAAGUCAGAUUUUGGAUUGGUCCUUAAACGAUGUCGUUUUGGGCGUUUGGAAGUCAAACCCAAAACGGCAUCGUAUUGACCCUUAUAUAAGUUAAAAACCUUAAAAAAAAUCAUUUCUCUUCUCUUUUUUUAAAAGAACUUUCCCUUUUCUAUUUUUAAUCUCUCAACUCCCUCUCCGUUCAGCUAAGGGUUGCCGCACAUUCGCAGUGGCCACCAGUCAUCGGUGAUGGGGGCCGUCUCCUUUGGUGGCCGAAGUUGCAAAAAAAUGCUUUCCUACCCCUUUUGACCCCGAUCUGAAGGUGGUGCCUUCCCAAACUCAAAAAAAAUAAAAAAAAUUUGAUCAUUCCUUUUCUUUGAACGUACACCCCUUUUUUCUUCGAAGCCCAGGCAGAACCUUAGUGGGUUCUGAGGUAUUCAGGGUCGGAGAAGACCUUCGAUGAUGGCAGGAAGCGAAACAGCACGGGUAAGAAAAUAAUUUUUUAUUUUUUAUUUAUGCUAUUCGAAAAAAAAAGAGCGAAAUAAACUACCUUUUUCUUUUAACUUUUUUUUUUGGUUUUUGGCUAUUUCAAUCUUGUAAAAAAUACACCUCUUUGUUAUGGCUUUUGUAGUUGAUUACAUAUAUUUUUUCUUUUCUUUUUCGCUGUUUUUUCUAUUUAUGUCCUUUGUCUAGUUUCUUUUUUCUUUUGCAGGUAUUCGUGGCAAGGUGAACGACGCUGGGGAGCCGCGCCUUACCAUUUCGGUGAAAGGGAGAGGUAGGCCUUGGGCGAUGCGCGUGCUGAUGUGGCCAAGGCAAAGGAGCGGCGAUAGUUGGAGGCUUAGAGAUGGCUAGGGUUUCAAGUUUAGUUUUUAAGUUUUAGGCUUUGGGCUUUUAGGGUUUUAAGGUUAGUAGAUUGGGUAUUUAUGUUUUGGGCUUGUAAAUAGACUUUCUGUUAAU
rnacentral:lncRNA from 1 species